rnacentral:rRNA from 1 species
GACGAACGCUGGCGGCGUGCCUAAUACAUGCAAGUCGAACGCAGUGGGGACGGGUGAGUAACACGUGGGUAACCUCCCAUCAGAGGAGAUAACCCUUGGAAACAGGUGCUAAACCGAUACUGAUGGAUGGACCCGGGGGGCAUUAGCUAGUUGGUGGGGUAACGGCUCACCAAGUCCACGAUGCAUAGCCGACCUGAGAGGGUGAUCGGCCACACUGGGACUGAGACACGGCCCAGACUCCUACGGGAGGCAGCAGUAGGGAAUAUUCGGCAAUGGACGAAAGUCUGAUCGAGCAACGCCGCGUGAGUGAAGAAGGCUUUCGGAUCGUAAAGCUCUGUUGUCAGAGAAGCGGUAUCUAACCAGAAAGCCACGGCUAACUACGUGCCAGCAGCCGCGGUAAUUC